AUUUGUUUUCUGGCUAGGGUAGAUGCCUUAGCGCUUGGAGCUUCAGUGAGCUCAUUUGUUUUCUGGAGUUUUACUUUCGACUCUGUCGAAACUGCGCUGCGAAAGCCUGUUCUGUGUUGUUCGGUCUUUGUUUUGUAGUUGAUGUGCAUAAACGCAAAUGGAUUACUCUUUGUUCCUCAGAAUGGCCAGCCUUUGACGUGGGCUGGCCGCGGGAUGAUACCUUUAACCCCCAAACUAUAUUUCAGGUAAAAGACACCCCAAGGGCCCCCCCUUCCUUUCCCCCUCUAACCGCCCGCCGCCGCCCCCGCCAGAGGCAGAAGCGGCCGCCGCCGCCUAGGUCCCCUUAACCUCGGAGGAGAAACAGCUGCCCAAUGAAAUUGAUGCAGCUUGCCCUCUUAAAAGACCUGAAUGGGAUUUUACCACUGAAGCAGUUUAUAAUGUCAGACAGACUGCCAGAUCCUGACAAUGACCCGAAGAUUACAGGCACCUCAGUUCCUGCACCUGGACCAAUGAGCAGAUGCUCAGAUAUGAAACCUGCCGCCUGCCAGAACCUGGCCGAGACUGUGGACAAAGCUGCUGGACGCUGGAAAAUUGAUUGUACCCCUUUGCCUAGACAAAACAAGGUUUCUGCUUCUGACAGACAUCUGAGUACCAGUUGCUGACUUCAGACUGUUCUAAGUAGACUGCGAACCCUAGACUUGCUAUGGAUGUGAACCAGUCUGCUGAUAUGGACACCCCCUAUCUCUGCAACAAUGUCAGCUAACCAGAAGCCCCUGAUGGAUUCCCCAUUGCCUAAAUUCCUUUUUGUUUUUGACUAGCAUUUCAACCUUCUGGGGUCCCUAACUUCGUCCCAAAGUCAGCAGGAAGCAGUUUGGAAAAGAAUUUCGCC
rnacentral:lncRNA from 1 species